UAUUUAAUUUCUCCUCCUCCUCUUACUUCAGAUUUGACCAACAACACCAAGCCAGUUUCAGAGAGUCUCUGCAACAAUGGAGAGGAUUGUGAUAAUGAAGAGGGAGAAGAAUCUGGAGUUGUGAGUUGGAUCUGAAAGUGCUUAUGGACAUUAAUUUGUUUUUAAAAUAGUGAUUAAAGAAAUGGUUAAGAGAGAAGCAGCCUGGAGAUGGUUAAUGUCUAAACAUGUACCAAUGUCAUUUUAUAAUGAUCACCCACUUAAUCAAAAACCAUUUUAUAAUUAACUUAAAUUUAUAAUCUUGGAUUCUCCUUUAUGUCAUUUGUUUUUAGCUCUCCUCUCUCUCUU